rnacentral:rRNA from 2 species
GCGCGCGCAGGUGGUUUCUUAAGUCUGAUGUGAAAGCCCACGGCUCAACCGUGGAGGGUCAUUGGAAACUGGGAGACUUGAGUGCAGAAGAGGAAAGUGGAAUUCCAUGUGUAGCGGUGAAAUGCGUAGAGAUAUGGAGGAACACCAGUGGCGAAGGCGACUUUCUGGUCUGUAACUGACACUGAGGCGCGAAAGCGUGGGGAGCAAACAGGAUUAGAUACCCUGGUAGUCCACGCCGUAAACGAUGAGUGCUAAGUGUUAGAGGGUUUCCGCCCUUUAGUGCUGAAGUUAACGCAUUAAGCACUCCGCCUGGGGAGUAC